rnacentral:rRNA from 1 species
ACGUAGGGUGCGAGCGUUGUCCGGAAUUAUUGGGCGUAAAGAGCUUGUAGGCGGUUUGUCGCGUCUGCCGUGAAAAUCCGGGGCUCAACCCCGGACUUGCGGUGGGUACGGGCAGACUAGAGUGUGGUAGGGGAGACUGGAAUUCCUGGUGUAGCGGUGAAAUGCGUAGAUAUCAGGAGGAACACCUGCGGUGUAGGCGGCUUCCUGGACCGUUACUGACGCUGAGACACGAAAGCGUGGGGAGCAAACAGGA